rnacentral:rRNA from 1 species
UACAGAGGGGGCAAGCGUUGUUCGGAAUUACUGGGCGUAAAGGGCGCGUAGGUGGCCUGUUAAGUCGAACGUGAAAUCCCUGGGCUCAACCCAGGAACUGCGUCCGAUACUGGCAGGCUUGAAUCCGGGAGAGGGAUGCGGAAUUCCAGGUGUAGCGGUGAAAUGCGUAGAUAUCUGGAGGAACACCGGUGGCGAAGGCGGCAUCCUGGACCGGCAUUGACGCUGAGGCGCGAAAGCCAGGGGAGCAAACAGG